GUCGAAAAGUUUCGUGUGGCGAAUCGAAAGCAGUAGGGACUAAAGAGGAGCUAUAAGCAAUUAAUUAUUAUAUACCGCCAACCGGUUAUGAGCCAGGGACAGUUUCUUUGGAAACCGCCGGAAUGCCCAUUGUGUUGCCAUGACAUACGGAUAUAGUAUACAUGGACGUCUGUACAAUAUAAUGGCUGAGUAUCGAACGAUUCUAAAAUUGAUCGUUUAAAUUGAAACUUCUGAAUUCUAAGUGGUUAUAAAAUUCAUAAAUUGUCACAAAAGAACAUUGCUUUUAGGGGUUCUAAACUUAUACAUCAAUCUCAUUCAAUGGCUCUACGGAAUCGAGUUACUUCAGCACCGUAUCGCUUUCCUGAGCAAACGCCGAGUCAGUAUCACGCUAAAUGCGCCUCCAGUCCGCCGAGUCGUCAACGAGCAAAAUCAGCGAACUCGAAUAUUUCGCCAGCGACUUAUGAUCAAUUUCAAAAGGGUAGCACCGUCGUUCAGGACGAAAUAUGGAAAAGUUCGUGCACUAAAGAGAAACAUCAACAAAUGAAAUGGUAAAUUAUUCAAAGCG